rnacentral:rRNA from 1 species
AUUGAACGCUGGCGGCAGGCCUAACACAUGCAAGUCGAACGAGUGGCGGACGGGUGAGUAAUGUCUGGGAAACUGCCUGAUGGAGGGGGAUAACUCCUGUACACGGUAUCUAAUCCCGCAUACCAUCGGAUGUGCCCCGAUGGGAUUAGCUAGUAGGUGGGGUAAAGGCUAACCUAGGCGACGAUCCCUAGCUUGUCUGAGAGGAUGACCAGGCACACUGGAACUGAGAAACGGGCAAGACGCCUACGGGAGGCAGCAGUGGGGAAUAUUGCAAAAGGGGCGCAAGGCUGAUGGAGCAAUGCCGCGUGGAUGAAGAAGGGCUUCGGGUGGUAAAGUACUGUCAGCGGGGAGGCGGUACCUGCAGAAGAAGCAACGGCUAACUCCGUGCCAGGAGCCGCGGUAAUAC